rnacentral:rRNA from 1 species
UCGGCCCUGAGUAGAGUGGCGCACGGGUGAGUAACGCGUGGGUAAUCUCCCCUUGGAUUUGGGAUAACUCUGCGAAAGUGGAGCUAAUACCGGAUAGUCUGGCUUUAAAUGAUAAGUCGGUAAAGGAUGCCUCUGCAUAUGCAUUCGUCCAAGGAUGAGCCCGCGUCUCAUUAGCUAGUUGGUAGGGUAAUGGCCUACCAAGGCAACGAUGAGUAGCUGGUCUGAGAGGAUGAUCAGCCACACUGGAACUGAAACACGGUCCAGACUCCUACGGGAGGCAGCAGUGGGGAAUAUUGCGCAAUGGGCGAAAGCCUGACGCAGCAACGCCGUGUGAGGGAUGAAGGCUUUCGGGUCGUAAACCUCUGUCGGAAGGGAAGAACGGGCAUUGGUCUAAUAGGCCUUUGUUUUGACGGUACCUUUAGAGGAAAGCACCGGGCUAACUUCCGUGCCAGCAGCCGCGGUAAUACGGAGGGUGCAAGCGUUAUUCGGAAUUACUGGGCGUAAAGCGCACGUAGGCGGCCUUGUAAGUCAGGGGUGAAAUCCCACGGCUCAACCGUGGAACUGCCUUUGAAACUGCAGGGCUUGAAUCCUGGAGAGGGUGGCGGAAUUCCUGGU